UACGAAGGGGGCUAGCGUUGCUCGGAAUCACUGGGCGUAAAGCGCACGUAGGCGGCUCUUUAAGUCAGGGGUGAAAUCCUGGAGCUCAACUCCAGAACUGCCUUUGAUACUGAGGGGCUCGAGUCCGGGAGAGGUGAGUGGAACUGCGAGUGUAGAGGUGAAAUUCGUAGAUAUUCGCAAGAACACCAGUGGCGAAGGCGGCUCACUGGCCCGGUACUGACGCUGAGGUGCGAAAGCGUGGGGAGCGAACAGG
rnacentral:rRNA from 1 species